rnacentral:rRNA from 1 species
GACGAACGCUGGCGGCGUGCUUAACACAUGCCAGUCGAACGGAAAGGCCCUGCUUUUGUGGGUUGCUCGAUUGCCGAACGGGGGAGUAACACGUGAGUAACCUGCCCUUGACUUUGGGAUAACUCCAGGAAACUGGGGCUAAAACCGGAUAGGAGCUCUUGCUCCAUGUUGGGGGUUGGAAAGUUUCGGCGGUUGGGGAUGGUCUCGAGGCUUAUCAGCUUGUUGGUGGGGUAGUGGCUUACCAAGGUUUUGACGGGUAGCCGGCCUGGGAGGGUGGCCGGCCACAUGGGGCCUGAGAUACGGCCCAGACGCCUACGGGAGGCAGCAGGGGGGAAUAUUGCACAAUGGGCGGAAGCCUGAUGCAGCAACGCCGCGUGCGGGAUGACGGCCUUCGGGUUGUAAACCGCUUUCGCCUGUGACGAAGCGUGAGUGGCGGUAAUGGGUAAAGAAGCACCGGCUAACUACGUG